UGGACAAUGAGUCCCAUCAUCUCUCCACCAUGCACCUUGUGACUCCCUCCUCUGCUGACAACAGAUAACCACCUUUAACUGUAACUUUCCACAGCCUACCCCAGCCCUAUAAAGCUGCCCCUCUCCUAUCUCCCUUCGCUGACUCUCUUUUCAGACUCAGCCCACUUGCACCCAAGUGAAUUAACAGCCUUGUUGCUCACACAAAGCCUGUUUAGGUGGUCUUCUAUACGGACAUGCUUGACACUUGGUGCCAAAAUCUGGGCCAGGGGGACUCCUUCGUGAGACCGGCCCCCUGUCCUGGCCCUCAUUCCGUGAAGAGAUCCACCUGCGACCUCGGGUCCUCAGACCAGCCCAAGGAACAUCUCACCAAUUUCAAAUCGGGGUCCCUGGAGCUCUGGCUCAAAGCUCUCUGGCUGACUCCUUCCCAGAUCUCCUCGGCUUAGUGGCUGAAGACUGAUGCUGCCCGAUCGCCUCAGAAGCCCCUUGGACCAUCACAGAUGCCGAGCUUCGGGUAACUCUUACGGUGGAGGAUUCCCAGCCAUAUGAAGACACCCUAGCUGGACGAUCAGUCCUUGUCAAAAGUCUGACCCCUCAAACUCUACAGCCUCAAUGGACCAGACCCUACCCGGUCAUUUAUAGCACACCAACUGCCGUCCAUCUGCAGGACCCUCUCCAUUGGGUUCACCAUUCCAGAAUAAAGCCAUGCCCAUCAGACAGCCAGCUUGAUCUCUCCUCUUCCUCCUGGAAGCCACAAGAUUAGGCCGAGAGCCGAUCAGACAAACAACCUACAACCCUUAAGCUCCUGGCAGCGCCCAGCCAAGGCCAUGCUUCCUUGCAACACUCCUUCCAAAUGGCCAUCCCAGCAUGCUUCCAAGCAGGCUUCAUCCGUUCCUCUGGACCCUCAUCUCUUAAGACCUGCCGCCUAUAAAAAGGAUUAUAUCUUGAGACCCUAUCCUCUAAAAUUUUUUCCACACCCAAAACAAAAAAUCUCUGGGUCAAAAGUCUAAAACGCUUAGGCUGGCAACCAUCAGAUCCUUGCCCAUGGUGUCCUCAAGCCUACUCUCAUGAAAUGGACAACAGUACACGCAUAUGGGGCCAGUUCCACAUAUUUGGCAACCAGACCAGCAUCCAGGACAACACAAAGUAUGUUGUUUGUUGUUAGAGGGCUUGGGACAUUUCACUCUUUGCCAGCCUCAGCUUAAUCCAGGAGACAAAGAUUAUUUUCCUUAUUAUCUCUUCUGCAUAGGAUCUGCAAUCAGAACUAUUGAACUUCUCCAUUCAGACCGCCACUCACACCUAUGGGAAAAGGGUAAUGUAUCAUCGGCUUAGCAACAGGGAAUACUAUUCGUAUGAUGGAAAAUGGGGACAAAAGGCUUUGGUACAUAAAACAUUAUUCCUUCCUUGGCCUAAAAACUCAUCGCCACCUACAUUAAAGCUAAUAUGCCUGAUUACUGUUUUUAGAGAACUUAUUUUAUUAGGGCAGUUCCAAGCUCAAAAAUACGCUAACUGGCACCUUGUUAGCUACAUAAAAAUGCACCCUAGACCCGAAACUUACUAGACUCAUUAUAAAAUUUUCUUUAAGGUGUCCACGCAGUCCCUGGUCACACUUGAAGCAGUCCGGAGAAAUAUCAGCCCUACCCCAGUAAUCCCCAGAAGGAACUUACACUUUUUUUUAAUCUUUUCCUACAACUUCAUAUUUUAUAAAUAAAAAGACAAAAAUGUCAG
ensembl:lncRNA UCA1 urothelial cancer associated 1